rnacentral:rRNA from 1 species
AGCAGCCGCGGUAAUUCCAGCUCCAAUAGCGUAUAUUAAAGUUGUUGCAGUUAAAAAGCUCGUAGUUGAAUUUCGGGAUCAAUUAAUUGGUCGUGCCUCUGGUACGCACUGGUUUUAUUGGUUUCUCCCUUCUGACGAACCACGAUGUCAUUAAUUUGGUGUCGUGGAGAAUCAGGACUGUUACUUUGAAAAAUUAGAGUGUUUAAAGCAGGCUAACGCUUGAAUACAUUAGCAUGGAAUAAUGAAAUAGGACGUUUGAUCCUAUUUUGUUGGUUUCUAGGAUCGACGUAAUGAUUAAUAGGGAUAGUUGGGGGCAUUAGUAUUCAAUUGUCAGAGGUGAAAUUCUUGGAUUUAUUGAAGACUAACUACUGCGAAAGCAUUUGCCAAGGANGUUUUCAUUAAUCAAGAACGAAAGUUAGGGGAUCGAAGACGAUCAGAUACCGUCGUAGUCUUAACCAUAAACUAUGACCGACUAGGGAUCGGAUGAUGUUAAUUUUUAAUGUACUCA